rfam:Armatimonadetes bacterium DC isolate DC genome assembly, contig: DCOP10_119
UCUGCUGGCUGGCGGGUGGCCCCCCAAUUGGGGGGAGGAAAGUCCGGGCUCCGCAGGAGACUGUGCAGGGUAACGCCCUGGCGCCCGCAAGGGCGACGGAAAGUGCCACAGAAACGCAGACCGCCCGCAAGGGCAAGGGUGAAACGGUGCGGUAAGAGCGCACCAGCGUGCGCGCAAGCGCUCGGCUGGGCAAACCCCACAGGGAGCAAGGUCGAAUAGGGAGGGGAUGAAGCGCUCCGCAGACCCUCCGGGUUGACCGCGUGAGGCUUCGCGCAAGCGAACGCCCCAGAGAGAUCACCCGCUCAAACAGAACCCGGCUUACACGCCAGCAGAGCGC